ensembl:lncRNA
GAAGAAUGUGCGUCCGACUCCAAGGCCAUAGUAUUGUGUGCUUUUCUGCUUAGAGAGUAUGUCUGUGAGAAAUAAAGAAGCUACUUUGAUAGACCUUGUGUUGUGUGUGCGUUUGACACGUGUCCCGCAGCCGUACCGCCCGCUACAUGGAGCACCACAUACUGGGCCGGAAGCCUCUCAUGCUCUCCACGGUCAAGCCCAGGCUGAUUUACUCCCUCUUCCUGAGGCCAUCCCUUAUGAGGGAAAUGUGAGACACAUCAGUAUACUCUCGGAUGGUGAUACACCAACCAUUAAUAAAUGCACCAACCGUGAACUUUUCCACUGUCCCUUCUGCAAAUAUGUGGGUGCAAUAUAUAUGGUUGACAACCAUAUAAAAGGCCAUUCUUCAGUAAAACAUAAAGGGUUCACAAUGAUCAAGUGUGGAUUAAGUUGUCGGACGGCAACGCAUUUUCAUUGUUGCUAUUGUACAGCAACAAUUAUAAAUCGAUUGCAAUUUACAAAGCACUUACUAAUACACCAGGGGAAGGGGCAUGCUGCAGCCCCCGCACGGCACUCUGUGGCCCCUGUGCAGCAGUCUGUGGCCCCCGCUCAUCACCCAUUGGUCCCCGCUCAGUACCAAGAGGCCGCCGCUCAUCACCCAUUGGCCCCCCCCGCUCAGCACCCAUUGGCCCCCACUCAGCACCCAGAGGCCCCGGCUCAGCACCCAGCAGCCCCCACUCAACACCCAUUGGCCCC